ACCUUCGGGCCUCUUGCCAUCGGAUGUGCCCAGAUGGGAUUAGCUAGUAGGUGGGGUAAAGGCUCACCUAGGCGACGAUCCCUAGCUGGUCUGAGAGGAUGACCAGCCACACUGGAACUGAGACACGGUCCAGACUCCUACGGGAGGCAGCAGUGGGGAAUAUUGCACAAUGGGCGCAAGCCUGAUGCAGCCAUGCCGCGUGUAUGAAGAAGGCCUUCGGGUUGUAAAGUACUUUCAGCGGGGAGGAAGGGAGUAAAGUUAAUACCUUUGCUCAUUGACGUUACCCGCAGAAGAAGCACCGGCUAACUCCGUGCCAGCAGCCGCGGUAAUACGGAGGGUGCAAGCGUUAAUCGGAAUUACUGGGCGUAAAGCGCACGCAGGCGGUUUGUUAAGUCAGAUGUGAAAUCCCCGGGCUCAACCUGGGAACUGCAUCUGAUACUGGCAAGCUUGAGUCUCGUAGAGGGGGGUAGAAUUCCAGGUGUAGCGGUGAAAUGCGUAGAGAUCUGGAGGAAUAC
rnacentral:rRNA from 1 species